GUCUAUAACAGCUUAAUUGCCACACACAUGCAGAAGGUGACACUUUACUGAGUAGCAAAUUAGUCUACUGUGUAGUAAAGCACAUGCAGGAAUGCCCAA